rnacentral:lncRNA from 1 species
GGUUCAUGUGCUGUAUAUUUCUCAGUACUUGUUUGAGAACGAUUCUGGAGCUCAGCAGAUUUCGGGAUAAGCCCUGGGAACGGGACAACCUCCGUUUGUCGGCAGCCAUGGUCGUGCUUUGCACGCACGAAGCUCUCUGGAGGUGUGCAAAAGUGGCUUCACUGAGCCUGAUGCAGAACAGUUUUUAAGUUUUGUGAAUUUUGGCGGGAGUUCAGCAGACUUCAGCUGUUCUGCAGUGUACGUUGAGCUGGAAAGAGGACAGAUGAGAGUAGCUCACACAGUCUUUUGAUCAGCUGAUGUCUUCCUUGUUGCCAG